AGAAACUUAGGAUCUGACCCAUAAACCAGGAGCCUUCAAAGCCCCAAACAGGAGAUAAAACCUCUUAGUUUCUG
rnacentral:tRNA from 1 species